GAUGAACGCUGGCGGCGUGCCUAAUACAUGCAAGUCGAGCGAACAGAUAAGGAGCUUGCUCCUUUGACGUUAGCGGCGGACGGGUGAGUAACACGUGGGUAACCUACCUAUAAGACUGGGAUAACUUCGGGAAACCGGAGCUAAUACCGGAUAACAUUUGGAACCGCAUGGUUCUAAAGUGAAAGAUGGUUUUGCUAUCACUUAUAGAUGGACCCGCGCCGUAUUAGCUAGUUGGUAAGGUAACGGCUUACCAAGGCGACGAUACGUAGCCGACCUGAGAGGGUGAUCGGCCACACUGGAACUGAGACACGGUCCAGACUCCUACGGGAGGCAGCAGUAGGGAAUCUUCCGCAAUGGGCGAAAGCCUGACGGAGCAACGCCGCGUGAGUGAUGAAGGGUUUCGGCUCGUAAAACUCUGUUAUUAGGGAAGAACAAAAGUGUAAGUAACUGUGCACGUCUUGACGGUACCUAAUCAGAAAGCCACGGCUAACUACGUG
rnacentral:rRNA from 1 species